rnacentral:rRNA from 12 species
GAGUGCGCCCGAUCCACCCUGAGUGCGCCCGAUCUCGUCUGAUCUCGGAAGCCAAGCAGGGUCGGGCCUGGUUAGUACUUGGAUGGGAGACCGCCUGGGAAUACCAGGUGCUGUAAGCU